rnacentral:rRNA from 1 species
UACGGGGGGGGGCAAGCGUUGUCCGGAAUUAUUGGGCGUAAAGAGCUCGUAGGCGGUCUGUCGCGUCGAAUGUGAAAAUCCGGGGCUCAACCCCGGACCUGCAUUCGAUACGGGCAGACUAGAGUUCGGUAGGGGAGUCUGGAAUUCCUGGUGUAGCGGUGAAAUGACGCAGAUAUCAGGAGGAACACCGGUGGCGAAGGCGGGUCUCUGGGCCGAUACUGACGCUGAGGAGCGAAAGCGUGGGGAGCGAACAGG